CAGGUUCUCUGGAGGUCCUGAGGCAGCUUCUGGGCAUGGGUGGAGCCACUGCACACCCUGCCUGGAGACAGCUCAGCUCCUGCCUUUGCCUUUCAAGAGCAAACGCCCUGGAGGAGCAGCUGAAGGAGCAGGAGCUGAGAGCCUGCGAGAUGGUCCUGGAAGAGACCCGGCGUCAGAAGGAGCUCCUGUGCAAGAUGGAGAGGGAGAAGAGCAUUGAGAUCGAGAACCUGCAGACCAGGCUACAGCAGCUGGACGAGGAGAACAGUGAACUCCGGUCCUGCACGCCCUGUCUGAAGGCUAACAUUGAGCGUCUGGAGGAGGAGAAGCAG
rnacentral:sRNA from 1 species